GAUUUUUUAACCUUGUUUGUAAAUAUAAAGAUUUUCCUACUUAUUCAAUACUAGUUGAGAGAUAUAUAUAACCGGGCUGUAUUAUAGAAAGACAUAAUAUAUAAAUAUGACAUUUAAUUUAGUUUUAACUCACAAUUAUGAUUUUAAUUUUGAGUGUGCACUUGUAAACUUUUAAAUUUGUACUAUAAAGUUGAAUAAUUAGACACACACGUCCUAUAUGACAUCUUACAU
rnacentral:misc_RNA from 1 species